UUUUAUAGUGAUUUUAUAAAAACAGAACAGGGGAUCUAGAAGUCAUUUUGACUCUGUCCCACAUUUCUUCAAUUAUCUCAUUAUCGGAAAUUCUUUUGCUUUUAUAGUUUCUUUUAUAAGAAACUAGACUCAUCAAGAUUUAAUUACAUAAUUUAUUCAGCUUCUAACUCAACUCCCACAAUUUAUAGUGAUUUUUCCAAAAUCACUUUACUGCUGCUGUCCUAAAGAGAUUAUUGCCAAUUCACUCUUUCACACAUUCUUUGUAUACAUAUUAUUUAAUUAUUUAUCACCCUAGAUAUUAUUAGCUAAAUAGAUCAAUUGUACAUAUAUACCGCCAAGACCGUACCUAAUAAUUUUACUUAUACAUAACAUUACUCAAAUUCUUCGAAAUCAUACUAACAAAAAUAUCAUGU
rnacentral:lncRNA from 1 species